GGUGAGACAUGCGGAUAGGCGACCGCGCUCGGUUUGAAACCGAGAGCCAGGAGGCUUCGGAGUUCGACUCUCCGUCUCACCG
rnacentral:tRNA from 1 species